rnacentral:lncRNA from 1 species
AUUUCCCCUCCCUCAACUCUUUGGUCUACUUCUCCUUUAUCUCCACAGAUGGAAGGUAGAUGAACUACAGUGAAGAGGAGAUGGAUAAGUUCUUCAAAGGAGGGACUUAUGUCUUAAAUUUCUUUGUAAACUCCAUUGCUUCGUACCAUGCCUGACAGAUUUAGGUACUCAGAGAGUGUUGGUUAAAGGUUGAAUGAAUGGGCUGAGCAAUGCAUAAGUGGAGGAUGGAUCAACUGGACAGUGUAGAGAUGGAAGAAAAGGAAUGUCAUUUGCUAUACUCAGAACAUGUCCUGUGCUGGUGUUUUCACAGGUGAUCAUAGCCAA